UACGAAGGGGGCUAGCGUUGCUCGGAUUUACUGGGCGUAAAGGGCGCGUAGGCGGACAGUUUAGUCAGAGGUGAAAGCCCAGGGCUCAACCUUGGAAUUGCCUUUGAUACUGGCUGUCUUGAGUACGGGAGAGGUGAGUGGAACUCCGAGUGUAGAGGUGAAAUUCGUAGAUAUUCGGAAGAACACCAGUGGCGAAGGCGACUCACUGGCCCGUCACUGACGCUGAGGCGCGAAAGCGUGGGGAGCAAACAGG
rnacentral:rRNA from 1 species